ACUCAAAUGAAUAGACGGGGGCCCGCACAAGCGGUGGAGCAUGUGGUUUAAUUCGUCACUAACCGAAGAACCUUACCAAGGUUUGACAUCUGGGGAAUCCGGGUGAAAGCCUGGAGUGCCUCGCAAGAGGAGCCCCAAGACAGGUGUUGCAUGGCUGUCGUCAGCUCGUGUCGUGAGAUGUUGGGUUAAGUCCCGCAACGAGCGCAACCCUCAUCCAAUGUUGCCAGCGUAAAGUCGGGAACUCUUUGGAAACUGCCCGUGUAAGCGGGAGGAAGGUGGGGAUGACGUCAAGUCGGCAUGGCCCUUACGCCUUGGGCUACACACAUGCUACAAUGGACGUUAACAGAGGGAAGCAAGACCGCGAGGUGGAGCAAACCCCAAAAAUACGUUCUCAGUUCGGAUCGCAGUCUGCAACUCGACUGCGUGAAGUCGGAAUCGCUAGUAACCGCAGGUCAGCUAUACUGCGGUGAAUACGUUCCCGGGCCUUGCACACACCGCCCGU
rnacentral:rRNA from 1 species